rnacentral:lncRNA from 1 species
UUUUUGGGGUACAACCAUAGGAAGUGUGAUCCCCAGACCCUUUUUGGGGUACAACCGUGGGAAAUGGGGUCCCCAGAGCCAUUUUUGGGGUAGAACCAAGAGAAAAGGGGGGGGUUCCCUGCUCCAAUUUGGAGCGUGUCACCAUGCAGACACCGCCAUGUUGUCACCGCCACAUUGUCACCACCACAUUGUCACCAUAGACACUGCCACGUUGUCACUGCCACAUUGUCACCAUAGACACUGCCACAUUGUCACCCCACAGACACCUCCAUGUUGUCACCGCCACGUUGUCACCACGUUAUCACCAGACACCGCCAUGUUGUCACCACCACACUGUCACCAUGCCGACACCGCCACGUUGUCACCAGACACUGCCGUGUUGCCACCAUACGGACACCGCCACGUUGUCACCACCACGUUGUCACCAUACAGACACCGCCAUCUUGUCACCACCAUGCUGUCACCAUACAGACACUGCCAUGUUGUCACCCCAGACGCCACCAUCUUGUCACCGCCACGUUGUCACCACCACGCUGUCACCACCACAUUGUCACCAUACAGACACCACCACAUUGUCACCGCCAUGUUGUCACUGCCACGUUAUCACCACCACGCCGUCACCAUACAGACACCACCACGUUGUCACCACGCUGUCACCAGACACCGCCAUGUUGUCACCGCCACGUUGUCACCAUACAGACACCACCAUCUUAUCACCACCAUUGUCACCAUACAGACACCGCCAUCUUGUCACCGCCACAUUGUCACCACACAGACACCACCACGUUGUCACCAGACACCGCCACGUUGUCACUGCCACCUUGUCACCAUACAGACACCGCCAGGUUGUCACCGCCAGGUUGUCACCGCCAGGUUGUCACCAUACAGACACCGCCAUCUUGUCACUGCCACGUCGUCACCAUACAGACACCGCCACAUUGUCACCACCAUAUUGACACCAGACACCACCACAUUGUCACCGCCACCUUGUCACCAUACAGACACCGCCAUCUUGUCACCACCAUUGUCACCAUACAGACACCGCCACGUUGUCACCGCCACAUUGUCACCAUACAGACACCACCACGUUGUCACUGCCACAUUGUCACCAUACAGACACCGCCAUCUUGUCACCACCAUUGUCACCAUACAGACACCACCACGUUGUCACCGCCACCUUGUCACCAUACAGACACCGCCAGGUUGUCACCGCCAUGUUGUCACUGCCACAUUGUCACCAUACAGACACCGCCAUCUUGUCACCGCCAUGUUGUCACCGCCAUCUUGUCACUCCCGUUUCAGGGCCGGGGGCCGUUGGCAGCGCCGCCAGCGGCGGUAGUUGAGGAAGAGGAGCGCGGCGUUGACCGCGUAGGUGCUGAGGCAGACGAGGCAGAGGUCGCGGAGGCCGAAGGCCAACACCAGCGCCAGGUACAGCGAGGCCACCACCGACGUCACCGACGUCACCA